rfam:Armatimonadetes bacterium CSP1-3 XT14_C0053, whole genome shotgun sequence.
ACCGAUCAGGGCAAACCCGGAGCGAUCCGGGGACGCAAAACCACAGGACCCUAUGGGUCAGCUGGGUUGCCGGGG